rnacentral:rRNA from 1 species
GACAGAGGAUGCAAGCGUUAUCCGGAAUGAUUGGGCGUAAAGCGUCCGUAGGUGGUCAUGCAAGUCUAUUGUCAAAGCACAAGGCUUAACCUUGUAAAGGCAGUGGAAACUGCAUUAACUCGAGUGCAGUAGGGUAGAGGGAAUUCCCGGUGUGAGCGGUGAAAUGCGUAGAGAUCGGGAAGAACACCAGUGGCGAAAGCGCUCUGCUGGACUGCAACUGACACUGAGGGACGAAAGCUAGGGGAGCGAAAGGG